UACGUAGGGUGCAAGCGUUAAUCGGAAUUACUGGGCGUAAAGCGUGCGCAGGCGGUUAUGCAAGCCAGAGGUGAAAUCCCCGGGCUCAACCUGGGAACUGCCUUUGUGACUGCAUAGCUAGAGUACGGUAGAGGGGGAUGGAAUUCCGCGUGUAGCAGUGAAAUGCGUAGAUAUGCGGAGGAACACCGAUGGCGAAGGCAAUCCCCUGGACCUGUACUGACGCUCAUGCACGAAAGCGUGGGGAGCAAACAGG
rnacentral:rRNA from 1 species